GGAAGUAUUAUUGAUCUUUAUGAAAACCCGCUUAUAUGACUCAAUCCCUUCAGCUAUAACUACUUAAAAUUGUUUUCCUGGUCAUCUUAAGUAUAAAUGCGCGGUGACAUAUAAACAUCAACAUUCAAGGAUCAUCUACUUUAGAGGAAAGUAACUGAACUCGUAACUCAUUAACCAUGAAACUGUUCGGUCUGUUAGUGUGUGUGAUGGCAGUCCUGGCGCUCAUCAUGGGCGGGGCCAGCGCCGAGCCCAAGGGCAUCGGAAAAGUGAUCAAGAAGGGCGGGAAAAUUAUUAAACAUGGGCUUGGAGUGAUCGGUGUGGUUGGAGCCGGUCAUGAAGUAUACCAGCAAUCAAAACAAUAGAUGUAAUGUAAAGAAAUACUUAAUAUUUAUUGUUAAUUUCCUGUGCCAUAUCAGUGUUAUUAAUUAAAAACAAAUUGUUGAUUUAAAUGUUUGAGGUUUUAUUUAUCUUUUGUCCAUAAUUGUUGUUGUAAUUAGUAAGUGGUUCGUACUACUUGAUUCGAAACUACGAUUAUGUAUUUUUACACCAAACAUACUAUAUUAAACGUUGAAUGGCAAUGAUAAUGCUUUGAGUACAAAACAGACCAGCAUGGAUCACGAUUGGAGCCGAACAAGCGCUUUGCAGGUUCUUUAUAUGGACCUCAACUUCAAAAGUGUCAAAAAUAAAUAAGGUCAUAAUAUUUUCGUAGUUAUAGGAUUUACGCGGCUCCAGCAACAGCGCUCGGGACAAACC